GCCCGAGUGGCGGAAUUGGUAGACGCAGGGGAUUCAAAAUCCCCCGCCGCGAGGCUUGUCGGUUCGAGUCCGACCUCGGGUACCA
rnacentral:tRNA from 4 species